CUUUCCUUCAUUUCUGUUUUCACAAAUUAGGUUUUAUCUUCGUAAUCCCUUUUGAUUUAGGAUUUCUGUACAAUUUUUUUUUUCACUUUCCCUAGAUGUACUACUGAGUCUCCUUUAAGUAGGUCCUGAGAAAUCUUAUGAAAUUAAAAAGGGAGGAAACAAAGUAUUUAUAGAUUUCCAUGGCUUGGAAAAUUUACUUUUUGAUGUCAAGUUGUGUUAGGACACGAUUGACUACGAGUAGUUUGUUAGUAUCUUUUGUUGUUUCUUCCCUUUUUCUCUUCUUCAUUAUGUUUUUACUUGUUUUGUAGGGGGAAGAGAUUGUGUAUUUUGUAAGUAUCAUGUCCAAUUCCUAAAUCAAUUUGUAAAUAGAUUUUGAAAGACUUAUUACUUGAAUGGAUGCCAUGGAUUCUCUCAUGAAGGGACGAACUGUUCUUGUAAUAGCUCAUUGGCUUUCGACUGUUAAAAGUGCAAACACUGUGGUAGUUAUAUCUGAUAGUAAGGUAGUCUAAAAUGGCACACAAAGAACUCCUUAUGAAGGAUGGCAUCUACGAUGCACUGGUGAGGAGGCAGGUACAAGGACCCCAAAAAGAACUUUGAGUCCAUUCAACCAAAACACUUAGAAGGCAGAAGCAAUCAAUGAGGUUCUAUACUGGAUCAAUGUCAUGAUAAUAAAACACAUUUUUGGGCAUUGGUUCCACAAAUUACUAAUUGUAAGACCUGUGGACAAGAAUUAAAUGAUUCUGUAUUAGAGAGAAGGCUAUAGUGUAAUUUGUGUGGAAGAAUGGAGAAAAUGAGGUUAUUCUUCCUUCGUGUUUAACUCUUAUGUUCCACAUAUGAUCAGCAUGGCUUUGGUGAUUCAUUAUUUUCUAAGGUCAAAGGACACUAGUAUGGAGCCAGCUUAGAUGUAAGAAAGAACUGAAAUGUACAUUGAGAGAUCUAAAAGCUGGCUGAGAAUCUAUUGCCUAAUAUAUUUGUAUGUCAAAAGCUUGGGGAAAGUGAUGUUUUAGAAGUGAGAAAA